UCUCUCUCGCGCGCGCUGUCACACAGCUAACCCUAGCGAUCCACCUCUCCCCUCCCCUCCCCUCGCGCAGCCGCCACCCACCUCUUCCUGUCUCGAUUCCCACCCACGCCGCUGCCGCCGCUGCCGCCGGCCUAUGCCCUCCCCCCACACCGCCGCCCCUCCUCACCUUCUCUCCCCGGUCGAGUAGCAGCAGGUGAGGCGGAGGCGGCAGCCAGAUCCGCCGCGUUGCUUCUGGAUCCGCGCCCUCUCCACCACCGAUUCAUCUCCAAUCUGGAUCCGCCGCGUUGCCACCGACACCCAACCCCACCCCAUGAACCCCUUCUGCGAGAUUGCCGUGGAGGAGGCACUGCGGUUCCGCGAGGCCGGCGCCGCCUCCGAGGUCGUCGCAGCCAUCGUCGGUCCCGCGCAGGCCGCCGACACGCUCCGCACUGCGCUUGCCAUGGGCGCCGACCGCGCCGUCCACGUCCUCCACGACCCCGACCCCGACCCCGCCGCCCGCUCCUCCCGCUCGCUGUUGCCGAGAUUCUCCGCGCCCUCGCGCUCCAGGACACCCCCGACCUCCUCAUCCUCGGCAAGCAGGUUCUCAGAUCGGCCUCGAUUCAGUCAGUUUUUUGCCUCGUCUUUCAUGGUGUCUGACUUGCUCUGCUUCCUGCCUGCCGGCCCGUCGUCCUCCUCCACGCCCCCACCCGCGGGCCUCCGCCGCGUCCACAUCUGGAGCUCCUCGACCCCAUCCCGUCCGCGGCGGUGACCAGCUGCAGCCUCUCUCUCUCUCUCUCUGCUCGGCUGGGCGGCAGUGAAGUGGGCAGGCGAUCCACUCAUCCUGAUUUCUCUUCUCGGUGUUUCAUCCAUCGGUAAGGACAAGACACACAUAAACAUCCUGGUCAUUGGCCAUGUCGACCACCACUGGCCAUCUGAUCUACAAGCCAUCCGGGAAGUCGAUGGCGGCGGCGCUGGAGUUCCUGGGGGCGCAGCGCUCGACACGCCCGGAGCUGCCGAAGUGCCAUGGGCAAGGGACAAGACUUGCAUCGACAUCGUGGUCAUUGGCGAUGUCGACCACCACUGGCCAUCUGAUCUACAAGCUUGGAGGUAUUGACAAGCGUGUGAUCGAGAGGUUUUAGAAGGAAGCCACUGAGAUGAACAAGAGGUCAUUCAAGUAUGCGUGGGUGCUCGACCAGCUGAAGGCUGACCGUGAGAGGGGUAUCAACAUUGAUAUUGCCCUGUGGAAGUUCGAGACCACCAAGUACUACUGCACUGUCAUCGAUGCCCCUGGACACCUUGAUUUCAUCAAGACUCCACCACUGGCUGUUUCUCCUAGGAUGGUUGGACCUGUCAGCACACCCUCCUUGCUUUCACUCUUAGAGUGAAGCAACAGGGUAUACUAGCUAUUCAACUUUGGAUGCUAAUUCUUAUGAGUGACCAUAUGACCUGUGUACCUAAUUUGCUAUCCAUUUGAUUCACAAUUACUUCAGCCAAUGUCAAUGCUCAUUAGUGCAUAAACACCCUGUGAACAUUAUCUCAUUCUUAGGCCUCGAGUGAUAUUUCUUCAGGCUAGUGCAUUAAUAAUAUGUGUUGCUCACUUUGUUUCUUAUAUCCUAUAAUUCAGAAAAGUAUGUACUAAUUUGUAUAUACUUGAUGGGAAUGUUUAGAACCACUUAGUAAAUGUACAGGCUCAUUGGUACUACUGAAUAGCCUUGUAAUUUAUGUUGCUUCUGGAGGUGUGGAGUCCUAGUAUUGGUUCCUGGUUCUAUUCAUGUUGCUUCUGUGGUGUGGAGUCGUGUCCUGACCGAGGAUUUGGUGCGUGUUUCGUCUUUGCAGGAACAACUUAAGGAAGGAGUACAGGGAGAAGCACCCUGACGUCAGGCAUGUCUUCGUGGUAAGCGCCUUGGUCCCGUUCCGCCACCUGUCCGCCUCUGUCUUGUGUUGUUUGUUCGAAUUGUUACUGCGAUGAGUUUCCUUGUGAAUUCCGUGUCCUGAUCUGGUUUGGGUUUAGUUCUCUGGCUUGUUCAAACCGAGAGGACUGUGUUCUCAGAUUGUUGCUAGAAUUGCAACUGCUCAUUUUGUAUUAAGCUAGGAUAAACAUCUUUUUUAAAACAUGGGUUGAAGCAGAUUGUACUUGCCUACUGAGAAUAUGAAAACAAGAUAUUAUGUUUGCUAAUAUGAAGAUAGCAUUGUGUUUAAUCUAGUACUGAUGAUUGUUUUCAUUCUCAUAUAAAUUUGUUAAUGAUGGCGAUUUUGUACUAGCAUAUAAACUUGUUUUUGUUGUCACUUGAUACAUACUUAGCUUGUACUUGAAGUUGUGGGUUAAUGCUGGUAAUUUUGUUCUACUUGUAUGCAUUGGUACCCCCAUCAUCGAGCGCACGGAUGCAAUAGUGGCAAGAAGAUCAUGGUCGUGUGCAUCAUCAAGCACACCAUGGCGAGCAUCCACCUCCUCACAGUGGCAAGAAGAGCAGGUGCCUAGUUUGUAAUCGCUGUCGAAGGAGCUCCAUGCUGAAGAACAUAACACUUGUAGAGCUUGUAAAGUACCAUGUUAUUGAACUUGUGGAGCAUGUAACUAUGACUUCCACUAUUGUAUGUUAGAGUUAUUUGUACAACUUGCUACACUUGCUGAAGAACAUAACACUUGUAGAGCUUGCAAAGUGUAUGUUAGAGUUAUUUGUACAACAGCAACUCUAUAUUGACAGUAGCAACACUGGCUGGUAUUUGAAGUAUUUUGUGUGUUUUCUGUGC
rnacentral:rRNA from 1 species